GGCGUCCCAGGUGGGCGCCGCGCUCUGGGCCUCGCUCGGUGCCGGUGUCUUUUGUGGGGAUUUAAAGGUGCAGGCCGCGCCGUGAUGCCCGAGCCAGGCCUCGUGGGCAACGCCCCACACCUGGGUGGGUUUUGUGUUUUUUUUUUUCUCUUGUUUUUUUAAAGCGAACCUCGCGGCCGAGCCUGCGCAGUCGGCGCCCCGCCCCUCCCCUCCGCGAUCGGGACCCAGGAAAGGGGGAUGGUGUGUGCAAAGCCGCUUUGAGCACAGCGGCGACGCUGCCCGAGGAAAACGUCGCGAUCUGCCGCCUCUCGGGUCUUGGGGCUUGGGUUUGGGCUUGGCUCUUGUAGGUCACAGCUUUGACUGGCUUGGGAAGUCGCAGGCACUUGUCCCCCAUGUCCCCGAGUGUCCAGUCUCCCCUUGCCUUGAUCGCCAUGCUUCUGCAGGCUGCAGGUCCUGAUGGACUUCCUUCCCUUUUCUUAUUAGGAAUAAAUACUCCAAGAUGAUUGUUCUUAAACAGUACCUCUCUCGACUUUAUCAGGGUGAUUCCUACUUUGAUUUUGUCCGUAAUCUUAAAAUACUUUAUUUAAAAUAUUUCUAUCUUAAAAUAUUUCUCUUUGGUAGGAGGUGUUUUCAAAACACCUGUUUUCCUUUCCACUCUGUUGUCACCUUGCAAGGUGCAGGAAAGAGCUGUAUCUUUUUUUUUUUUUUAAGAAUUUUUUAAUAUUUAUUUUUCAGUUUUCGGUGGACACAGCACCUCCAUUUUACUUUUAUGUGGUGCUGAGGAUGGAACCCAGCGCCCCGCGCAUGCCAGGCGAGCCAGGCGAGCGCGCUACCGCUUGAGCCACAUCCCCAGCCCAAGAGCUGCGUUCCUAAUAUUGAGGUGACCCACACUCCAUGGAACUGGAAGGGGCCUGGAGAGAAUCCGGUGAAAUCCUCUCUGGCAGGGAGAUUUUUCCUAUUUUAUAAGAGAAGUGGGUGAGAACCCAAAAGGGCAAAUGUUGUACCUAAGGUAACACAAUAUUUGGAUGGCAAGUCCUUGUAGACAUGGACUGCUUUGUGCACUUUUUCCAAAAAUAAAAAUUUAAUGCUAAGUAGGCCUAGAGAUGUGUGAAAAUCCAUAACAGGUUAUCAGAGGAACCUAGGAUGUUUUUUUUUUUUUUUUUACCUAAACAGUAAUGAAUGUUUUGAUGAUGACUUCUGAUUUUCUAAUCCUUUCACUUCAUACUCUGAAGCUCUCUGAAUGAAGCACUCUGUAUAAACAUGCAUUCUCCUGAGGUGCAGGAACUUGUAAGAGAGGUUCCAUGACCUGCCCAGGGUUGCAGAUGCCUCAGUAAAGCCAGGGCCCUGGUGUACCCUUAUGGUGUUAAAUUUUAUGUAAUGAAUCAUCUCACCUGAUUGCCACAUUUGCAGUAGCGUUCAGGUAGGGCUCAUAACCCUUGAUUGACUUUGAUUGACUUGGCCAUCUUUCCUUGUAGACAGAUGCGGGUGAUUGACUUUGAUUGGCUUGGCCAUCUUUCCUUGUAGACAGAUGUGCGUGUGCACGCACCCACGGGCUGUGUGCUCCCUUAGGGCUGCACUGCUCUAAUGCUUUAAUUGGCUUUAUAAUUCUUAAUAGGCUUUGUAGGCACACAAAAAAAAUGCAGGUUGUAUUGUGCUGGCUGUACUUGCCUUCUCCUGAGCUCAUUAGAAGCAUCUGCAUUUCCAGUACUUUUAACAUUGCUUGACCAGCCUUUAAGGGAUUCUUGACUGGGUGCCCUUCUGAAUUGCCAGGUCCCGGGGUUCUGAAGCAGGGCCUGGCUUCAGCACUUCGCUGAGCAUCACGGGUAAUUCUGUGCUCUCCAGACCUGCACCACUGAUUUCAUUGCACACAUGCGUGACAAAACAAACCGCCACCCAGAGAUUGUUUAUUUACAGGGACAGGAGCUGGGGGCGGGGGGUGAUCAUGCAUCUAGCUGCACCUGCCCACACCGUGAGCCCUGGAUGGGGAUGUGCUGUGUCCCUUCUGUCCCUGCCCUCACGUAGUACCUGGUGCAGAGUGGUAAGGAGUGGCUAUGAGUGUUUUUCCUAGCAGCAGUGUGUGACAAACCGACAAUAUUUACAUUGUCCCCGUAUUUACAGAGGAACUGCAAAAAACAGGUUCUUGAGCUGGAAUGUGAGCCUGGGACUUCUGGCUCCUUGAACAGAGCUCUGUGGGUGACACUCAUCUGCCCCAGCUGUCCCCAGGGCAGGUCUCUUUCAGUCUGUUCCAUGGUCAAUAAUUGAUUGGUUUUUCCCUGUGAACUUGAGAGCAGGAACUAUCACAGUUUCAUUUUUGUACCUAGCUCAGUAAACAUGCCUCUUUGCCAUCCAACAUUAUUCUGCAUUUAAAUUUAAAUGAUAUAUAUUGACUCAUUGACAAUCAAAUUUUAAUUAAGCUGCUGGGGAUGUAGCUAGCCUGGCAUGCAUGAGGCACUGGGUUCUAUCCUCAGCACCACAUAAAAAUAAAGAUGUUGUGUCCACCGAAAAACUAAAAAAUAAAUAUUAAAAAAAAUUCUCUCUUAAAAAAAUUUAAUUAAAUAGUUGUAGAUGCAUAAAAAUUCGCAAAUUUUUGAGCAGAGAUCUGAUGUUAAGAAAAGAAUAAAUGGUGCUUUUCCUUUCUUGUAAAAUAAAUUAAUUGCUGACUUUUGUAUCCUGGAUGGGGAAGGCUUAAUCAUUGCCUUCAUAAGGACUUUAUCACAUCUCCUGUAAUAGUUUAUGCUUUCUUAUCUAUGGUAACCAUUUUCUCAGAUUUCUGUUGGGAUUGCUUAUAUAGUUAUUUCCCACUUGUGAAAUAAACGUUUAAACCUUGCACAG
rnacentral:lncRNA from 1 species